rnacentral:rRNA from 1 species
GACGAACGCUGGCGGCGUGCCUAAUACAUGCAAGUAGAACGCUGAAGAGAGGAGCUUACUCUUCUUGGAUGAGUUGCGAACGGGUGAGUAACGCGUAGGUAACCUGCCUUGUAGCGGGGGAUAACUAUUGGAAACGAUAGCUAAUACCGCAUAACAAUGGAUGACACAUGUCAUUUAUUUGAAAGGGGCAAUUGCUCCACUACAAGAUGGACCUGCGUUGUAUUAGCUAGUAGGUGAGGUAAUGGCUCACCUAGGCGACGAUACAUAGCCGACCUGAGAGGGUGAUCGGCCACACUGGGACUGAGACACGGCCCAGACUCCUACGGGAGGCAGCAGUAGGGAAUCUUCGGCAAUGGGGGCAACCCUGACCGAGCAACGCCGCGUGAGUGAAGAAGGGUUUCGGAUCGUAAAGCUCUGUUGUGAGUCAAGAACGGGUGUGAGAGUGGAAAGUUCACACUGUGACGGUAGCUUACCAGAAAGGGACGGCUAACUACGUG